rnacentral:rRNA from 1 species
GAUGAACGCUGGCGGCGUGCCUAAUACUUGCAAGUCGAGCGAACAGACGAGGAGCUUGCUCCUCUGAUGUUAGCGGCGGACGGGUGAGUAACACGUGGAUAACCUACCUAUAAGACUGGGAUAACUUCGGGAAACCGGAGCUAAUACCGGAUAACAUGUUGAACCGCAUGGUUCAACAGUGAAAGACGGUCUUGCUGUCACUUAUAGAUGGAUCCGCGCCGCAUUAGCUAGUUGGUAAGGUAACGGCUUACCAAGGCAACGAUGCGUAGCCGACCUGAGAGGGUGAUCGGCCACACUGGAACUGAGACACGGUCCAGACUCCUACGGGAGGCAGCAGUAGGGAAUCUUCCGCAAUGGGCGAAAGCCUGACGGAGCAACGCCGCGUGAGUGAAGAAGGUCUUCGGAUCGUAAAACUCUGUUAUUAGGGAAGAACAAAUGUGUAAGUAACUAUGCACGUCUUGACGGUACCUAAUCAGAAAGCCACGGCUAACUACGUG